rnacentral:rRNA from 1 species
GACGAACGCUGGCGGCGUGCUUAACACAUGCAAGUCGAACGGGGAAGCAGAUUUUGCUUUGUGGACCGGUGGGGAACGCGUAAGUACCAGGUGAGUAACCUGCAAUUACAUCUGGGAUCAGCGGCGGAAACGACGUCUGAUACUGGAUAAGACGACCGAACGCAUCUUCUGGUUGUGGAAAGCAUUUUAGCCAAGGAGGGACUCGCGGCCUUUCAGCUUGUUGGUGAGGUAAUUGGUCACCAAGGAGACGACGGCUAGCCGGCCUGAGAGGACGACCGGCCACACCGGGACGGAUACACCGCGCAGACUCCUACGGGAGGCAGCAGUGGGGAAGAAUGCACAAUGGGCGGAAGCCGGAUGCAGCAACGCCGCGUCAGGGAUGAAGGACGUCGAGUUGUAGUCCUCUUCUAUUAGGGAAGAAGCGAAAGUGACGGUACCUGCAGAAAAAGCACCGGCUAACUACGUG